UGCAGUCGAACGGCAGCGGGGGUAGCUUGCUACCUGCCGGCGAGUGGCGAACGGGUGAGUAAUACAUCGGAACGUGCCCUGUAGUGGGGGAUAACUAGUCGAAAGACUAGCUAAUACCGCAUACGACCUGAGGGUGAAAGUGGGGGACCGCAAGGCCUCAUGCUAUAGGAGCGGCCGAUGUCUGAUUAGCUAGUUGGUGGGGUAAAGGCCCACCAAGGCGACGAUCAGUAGCUGGUCUGAGAGGACGAUCAGCCACACUGGGACUGAGACACGGCCCAGACUCCUACGGGAGGCAGCAGUGGGGAAUUUUGGACAAUGGGGGCAACCCUGAUCCAGCAAUGCCGCGUGUGUGAAGAAGGCCUUCGGGUUGUAAAGCACUUUUGUCCGGAAAGAAAUCGCUUCGGUUAAUACCUGGAGUGGAUGACGGUACCGGAAGAAUAAGGACCGGCUAACUACGUGCCAGCAGCCGCGGUAAUACGUAGGGUCCAAGCGUUAAUCGGAAUUACUGGGCGUAAAGCGUGCGCAGGCGGUUGUGCAAGACCGAUGUGAAAUCCCCGGGCUUAACCUGGGAAUUGCAUUGGUGACUGCACAGCUAGAGUGUGUCAGAGGGAGGUAGAAUUCCACGUGUAGCAGUGAAAUGCGUAGAGAUGUGGAGGAAUACCGAUGGCGAAGGCAGCCUCCUGGGAUAACACUGACGCUCAUGCACGAAAGCGUGGGGAGC
rnacentral:rRNA from 1 species